AGCUUUGUAGUUUAUGUUAAAAUGUCUGCUUGUGGUGCGGGUGAAGGAGGGCUU
rnacentral:tRNA from 1 species